rnacentral:rRNA from 1 species
GCACGGGUGAGUAACACGUGACUAACCUACCUUUGAGUGGGGGAUAACUGAGGGAAACCUUAGCUAAUACCGCAUAAUACCCACGGGUCAAAGAAGCAAUUCGCUUAAAGAGGGGGUCGCGGCCGAUUAGUUAGUUGGCGGGGUAAUGGCCCACCAAGACAGUGAUCGGUAUCCGGCCUGAGAGGGCGCACGGACACACUGGAACUGAAACACGGUCCAGACUCCUACGGGAGGCAGCAGUGGGGAAUUUUGCGCAAUGGGGGAAACCCUGACGCAGCAACGCCGCGUGGAGGAUGAAGUACUUCGGUACGUAAACUCCUUUCGAUCGGGACGAUUAUGACGGUACCGGAAGAAGAAGCCCCGGCUAACUUCGUGCCAGCAGCCGCGGUAAUACGAGGGGGGCAAGCGUUGUUCGGAAUUAUUGGGCGUAAAGGGAGUGUAGGCGGUUUGGUAAGUUGUGUGUGAAAUCUUCGGGCUCAACCCGAAGUCUGCACACAAAACUGCCGGGCUUGAGGGUGGGAGAGGUGAGUGGAAUUUCCGGUGUAGCGGUGAAAUGCGUAGAUAUCGGAAGGAACACCUGUG